UACGGAGGGGGCUAGCGUUGUUCGGAAUUACUGGGCGUAAAGCGCACGUAGGCGGAUUGGAAAGUCAGAGGUGAAAUCCCAGGGCUCAACCUUGGAACUGCCUUUGAAACUCCCAGUCUUGAGUUCGAGAGAGGUGAGUGGAAUUCCGAGUGUAGAGGUGAAAUUCGUAGAUAUUCGGAGGAACACCAGUGGCGGAAGGCGGCUCACUGGCUCGAUACUGACGCUGAGGUGCGAAAGCGUGGGGAGCAAACAGG
rnacentral:rRNA from 1 species